rnacentral:rRNA from 1 species
AGCUCCAUUAGCGUAUAUUAAAGUUGUUGCAGUUAAAAAGCUCGUAGUUGGAUUUCAGUACGGGCCAGUCGGUCGGCCGCAAGGCCUGCUACUGGCUGGUCUGUUCUUCUUCUCAAAGACUGCGUGUGCUCUUCGCUGAGUGUGCGUAGGAUUUGGGACGUUUACUUUGAAAAAAUUAGAGUGUUCAAGGCAGGCUUGUAAGCUUGAAUACAUGAGCAUGGAAUAAUGGAAUAGGACUACGGUCCCUAUUUCGUUGGUUUCGAGGACCGAAGUAAUGAUUAAGAGGGACAGUUGGGGGCAUCCGUAUUUCGUUGUCAGAGGUGAAAUUCUUGGAUUUACGAAAGACGAACGACUGCGAAAGCAUUUGCCAAGGAUGUUUUCAUUAAUCAAGAACGAAAGU